rnacentral:rRNA from 1 species
AGCGUACACGGUGGAUGCCCUGGCAGUCAGAGGCGAUGAAGGACGUGCUAAUCUGCGAUAAGCGUCGGUAAGGUGAUAUGAACCGUUAUAACCGGCGAUUUCCGAAUGGGGAAACCCAGUGUGAUUCGUCACACUAUCAUUAACUGAAUCCAUAGGUUAAUGAGGCGAACCGGGGGAACUGAAACAUCUAAGUACCCCGAGGAAAAGAAAUCAACCGAGAUUCCCCCAGUAGCGGCGAGCGAACGGGGAGGAGCCCAGAGCCUGAAUCAGUGUGUGUGUUAGUGGAAGCGUCUGGAAAGGCGCGCGAUACAGGGUGACAGCCCCGUACACAAAAAUGCACAUGCUGUGAGCUCGAUGAGUAGGGCGGGACACGUGGUAUCCUGUCUGAAUAUGGGGGGACCAUCCUCCAAGGCUAAAUACUCCUGACUGACCGAUAGUGAACCAGUACCGUGAGGGAAAGGCGAAAAGAACCCCGGCGAGGGGAGUGAAAAAGAACCUGAAACCGUGUACGUACAAGCAGUGGGAGCAUGCUUAGGCGUGUGACUGCGUACCUUUUGUAUAAUGGGUCAGCGACUUAUAUUUUGUAGCGAGGUUAACCGAAUAGGGGAGCCGAAGGGAAACCGAGUCUUAACUGGGCGUCUAGUUGCAAGGUAUAGACCCGAAACCCGGUGAUCUAGCCAUGGGCAGGUUGAAGGUUGGGUAACACUAACUGGAGGACCGAACCGACUAAUGUUGAAAAAUUAGCGGAUGACUUGUGGCUGGGGGUGAAAGGCCAAUCAAACCGGGAGAUAGCUGGUUCUCCCCGAAAGCUAUUUAGGUAGCGCCUCGUGAAUUCAUCUCCGGGGGUAGAGCACUGUUUCGGCAAGGGGGUCAUCCCGACUUACCAACCCGAUGCAAACUGCGAAUACCGGAGAAUGUUAUCACGGGAGACACACGGCGGGUGCUAACGUCCGUCGUGAAGAGGGAAACAACCCAGACCGCCAGCUAAGGUCCCAAAGUCAUGGUUAAGUGGGAAACGAUGUGGGAAGGCCCAGACAGCCAGGAUGUUGGCUUAGAAGCAGCCAUCAUUUAAAGAAAGCGUAAUAGCUCACUGGUCGAGUCGGCCUGCGCGGAAGAUGUAACGGGGCUAAACCAUGCACCGAAGCUGCGGCAGCGACGCUUAUGCGUUGUUGGGUAGGGGAGCGUUCUGUAAGCCUGUGAAGGUGUGCUGUGAGGCAUGCUGGAGGUAUCAGAAGUGCGAAUGCUGACAUAAGUAACGAUAAAGCGGGUGAAAAGCCCGCUCGCCGGAAGACCAAGGGUUCCUGUCCAACGUUAAUCGGGGCAGGGUGAGUCGACCCCUAAGGCGAGGCCGAAAGGCGUAGUCGAUGGGAAACAGGUUAAUAUUCCUGUACUUGGUGUUACUGCGAAGGGGGGACGGAGAAGGCUAUGUUGGCCGGGCGACGGUUGUCCCGGUUUAAGCGUGUAGGCUGGUUUUCCAGGCAAAUCCGGAAAAUCAAGGCUGAGGCGUGAUGACGAGGCACUACGGUGCUGAAGCAACAAAUGCCCUGCUUCCAGGAAAAGCCUCUAAGCAUCAGGUAACAUCAAAUCGUACCCCAAACCGACACAGGUGGUCAGGUAGAGAAUACCAAGGCGCUUGAGAGAACUCGGGUGAAGGAACUAGGCAAAAUGGUGCCGUAACUUCGGGAGAAGGCACGCUGAUAUGUAGGUGAAGUCCCUCGCGGAUGGAGCUGAAAUCAGUCGAAGAUACCAGCUGGCUGCAACUGUUUAUUAAAAACACAGCACUGUGCAAACACGAAAGUGGACGUAUACGGUGUGACGCCUGCCCGGUGCCGGAAGGUUAAUUGAUGGGGUCAGCGCAAGCGAAGCUCUUGAUCGAAGCCCCGGUAAACGGCGGCCGUAACUAUAACGGUCCUAAGGUAGCGAAAUUCCUUGUCGGGUAAGUUCCGACCUGCACGAAUGGCGUAAUGAUGGCCAGGCUGUCUCCACCCGAGACUCAGUGAAAUUGAAAUCGCCGUGAAGAUGCGGUGUACCCGCGGCUAGACGGAAAGACCCCGUGAACCUUUACUAUAGCUUGACACUGAACAUUGAGCCUUGAUGUGUAGGAUAGGUGGGAGGCUUGGAAGUGUGGACGCCAGUCUGCAUGGAGCCGACCUUGAAAUACCACCCUUUAAUGUUUGAUGUUCUAACGUUGACCCGUAAUCCGGGUUGCGGACAGUGUCUGGUGGGUAGUUUGACUGGGGCGGUCUCCUCCUAAAGAGUAACGGAGGAGCACGAAGGUUGGCUAAUCCUGGUCGGACAUCAGGAGGUUAGUGCAAUGGCAUAAGCCAGCUUGACUGCGAGCGUGACGGCGCGAGCAGGUGCGAAAGCAGGUCAUAGUGAUCCGGUGGUUCUGAAUGGAAGGGCCAUCGCUCAACGGAUAAAA